rnacentral:rRNA from 1 species
AUUUAAGUGAAGAGUUUGAUCCUGGCUCAGAGUGAACGCUGACGGCAGGCCUAACACAUGCAAGUCGAACGGCAGCACAAGGGAGCUUGCUCCCUGGGUGGCGAGUGGCGGACGGGUGAGGAAUACGUCGGAAUCUGCCUAUUUGUGGGGGAUAACGUAGGGAAACUUA